rnacentral:rRNA from 1 species
UACGAGGGGGGCAAGCGUUGUUCGGAAUUAUUGGGCGUAAAGGGUGCGUAGGCGGUUUGACAAGUCUUAUGUGAAAUCUUCGGGCUCAACCCGAAGUCUGCAUGGGAAACUGUCGGGCUUGAGUAUGGGAGAGGUGAGUGGAAUUUCCGGUGUAGCGGUGAAAUGCGUAGAUAUCGGAAGGAACACCUGUGGCGAAAGCGGCUCACUGGACCAUAACUGACGCUGAUGCACGAAAGCUAGGGGAGCAAACAGG